AUUGAGAACUCUUUAUUUAAUGAUGGAUAAACUAAUACAAUUUUGCAAGCAAUCAAGGAAUUAUGAAAAUCUCUAGCCUAUAUAUGAUGGAUAACACAUUGAGUUGUGUGAAACAACCUUCACAGCAAAGCAAUCAUUCCCAGAUAGCAAUAGCAAUGAUUUCUAUCUGUUCCAAUAAAAUCAACAAUCCCACGUGUUAAGUUUCUUUAACACCGAGUCUGACACAGAUAGAUUACUAGAAAGAAUCACAGAAUCCCAGGAAAGGUCUUUCAAAUUCUGGAAAAGUAGAUCUUUAAGUGUAUAAAGAAUUCCUAUUUAGCUUGUUUCUUAGAUGGAUCUAUCAUAGAUUUUCUAUUAAUCUCUUACUCAAUCAUAUUUCCCAAAAGAGAGAUGAGUGCUUUUUCUUCACUCUAUAACCCUGACACUUCUCAUGAUUUCCAAAGUUGUAACUUCAACUUGAGAACUGAUUAAUAUUCAUUUGCCCUUCUGUCCAUGACUUUUCCCCCCACAUCAGAGAAGAUAGCAUGCCAUUAGGGAUAGUUUUGUUUUGCUUUUUUUUAUCUUAAUGAAAUGAGUAAUAGUUUAAAAUUCUUAAUAUGUUGAACAUAUAAAGUAGGUUCAAUACCAAUCACAUUUUUAUUGGAUCCCAGGCACACAAUGCAAAAUUUGACUGUUAAAAAUACAUAAUAUUUAGUGUUUUCAUUUGAACAUUUAUUUGGUUUAUAAUAUAAACUCAACAUUUAGGUGAAGCCUCCAGAUGAUUUCCACUACAAUACUCAGGCUCAUUAAUGUUUAAAAUCAAACUAGAUAUGCCAGAGCUUAAUAGUUUGAUAUGUGAAGAAAUAGGAAAAGAUUUAGGGAAAGAACUUCACAAGAAAGAAGCACAAUUUGUUUGAAUUGACUAUCCUAGAAUAUUGCCAAUGAUGCAGAAACAAUAAGAAAAAAGCCUUUCUUUUUCAGUGUUCCUAAGCCCAAGACCAAUCUAGCUGAGGAUAUCUGCCUAUUUUAGUUAUGGGGAAUCUCUCAGAGUUCUUUUGGAAAACUUUGAUUUGCCAAUUGAAAUAUAAUACAGUUCAACAGGACGGAAGACUUAUGGAAGCACUAAACUAUCAAGGUGGAGUGAAAUGCAUAUGAACUGAAAUGGGCAUAGCUCUUCCCUAACCAGGUUAAUAAAAAAAGUUUCUGUCUUUUUCAUGCAGUGAGAUCUCAGAUAAAUGAUUAGAAUCAAAAUUAUAGAAUGUGAGAACUAGAAGUGACCAGUCUAGCUUUUUCAUUUUUAUAGAUGGGUAAAGUGAGGCCCCAAAGAAUGUUCUAGAAGACUUUGCUCCAUGAGGUUAGAGCCUGGAACAAGUCGGGUCUCUCUUAACAGUAAUAGUCCUUGAUGAUUUGCCAAAAGUUAUAAAAGUCAGCAGCUGAGCAGAACCCAAUCCUCCUGACUCUGAACUCAAUCUUCUUCCCCCUAUAGUAUGCUAUUUCACAGCUAUGGUAAAAUACAAGCACUAAGAAGAAGAAGAACAAAAUCAACUUGGCACUUGAAGGAACUAGCAAAUAAGUAGAACUUGGAGCAGAGAAGAAUCUUGCUCUCCUGUUCACUAUCAUUUGCUCAGCUGGCAAGAUUUCUCAAAAGGAAUUUUCUUCAUCAUUUAAAGUACCAGAACAAGGUGAUUAGAGUGAUAAAUACCCCGCUUUUACCGGAGCUACCAUGGUGAUGGACAGGGCUUAGACUUCUACUCCGACUUCGGUUGACAUUUCUCACAGAUGACCA